AACAAACGCUGGCGGCGCGUUUUAAGCAUGCAAGUCGGACGGCAAGAGCUGUAGCAAUAUGGCUCCUAGAGUGGCGAACGGGUGAGUAACACGUAGGUGAUCUGCCCUUGGAUGGGGGAUAGUCCGUGGAAACACGGGGUAAUACCGCAUGAGGCCUUGUGGGUAGAGCCAUGAGGUGAAAGGUGCAAUUGCACCGUCUGGGGAUGAGCCUUCGGUCCAUUAGGUAGUUGGCGGGGUAAGGGCCCACCAAGCCUACGAUGGAUAGCCGGCCUGAGAGGGUGUACGGCCACACUGGAACUGAGACACGGUCCAGACUCCUACGGGAGGCAGCAGCUAAGAAUCUUCCGCAAUGGGGGAAACCCUGACGGAGCGACGCCGCGUGGACGAUGGAGGCCGUAAGGUUGUAAAGUCCUUUUCCUGGUGAAGAAUGACCGUGGGAGUGGAAAGCCCAUGGGAUGACGUUAGCCAGGGAAUAAGCCCCGGCCAAUUACGUGCCAGCCGCCGCAGUAAGAC
rnacentral:rRNA from 1 species